GACGAACGCUGGCGGCGUGCUUAACACAUGCAAGUCGAACGGAAAGGCCCAGCUUGCUGGGUACUCGAGUGGCGAACGGGUGAGUAACACGUGGGUGAUCUGCCCUGGACUCUGGGAUAAGCCUGGGAAACUGGGUCUAAUACCGGAUAUGACCUUACAUCGCAUGGUGUUUGGUGGAAAGCUUUUGCGGUUCAGGAUGGGCCCGCGGCCUAUCAGCUUGUUGGUGGGGUAAUGGCCUACCAAGGCGACGACGGGUAGCCGACCUGAGAGGGUGAUCGGCCACACUGGGACUGAGACACGGCCCAGACUCCUACGGGAGGCAACAGUGGGGAAUAUUGCACAAUGGGCGCAAGCCUGAUGCAGCGACGCCGCGUGAGGGAUGACGGCCUUCGGGUUGUAAACCUCUUUCACCAGGGACGAAGCGUGAGUGACGGUACCUGGAGAAGAAGCACCGGCCAACUACGU
rnacentral:rRNA from 1 species